CUACGGGACGCUCCAGUGAGGAAUAUUGCACAAUGGGGGGAACCCUGAUGCAGCAACGCCGCGUGGAGGAUGACGCAUUUCGGUGUGUAAACUCCUUUUAUAUGUCAAGAAAAUGACGGUAGCAUAUGAAUAAGCACCGGCUAACUCCGUACCAGCAGCCGCGGUAAUACGGAGGGUGCAAGCGUUACUCGGAAUCACUGGGCGUAAAGGACGCGUAGGCGGGUUGGAAAGUCAGGUGUGAAAUCCUACAGCUUAACUGUAGAACUGCACUUGAAACUUCUAAUCUAGAGUAUGGGAGGGGGAGAUGGAAUUAGUGGUGUAGGGGUAAAAUCCGUAGAUAUCACUAGGAAUACCUAAGGCGAAGGCGAUCUCCUGGAACAUUACUGACGCUAAGGCGUGAAAGCGUGGGGAGCAAACAGGAUUAGAUACCCCCGUAGUC
rnacentral:rRNA from 1 species